UGUGUGUGUGUGUGUGUGUGUGUGUGUGUAUGUGUAUCAAGCUUCUUAGUGGUCAGCUAUUCUCAUCACCCAAAGCAAAGGGCUUGACCCUUUGUGUUAGACAUCACAAGUGCCACAUUCUAUCAGAGUGGUGGGAUAAAUAUGCCAUCUUCCCCCUUCCCUGUUGAAAUCACCUGUUGCUUCCGGACUGCCUAAUCAGGGAACUGCUCUUUACCUUCAACAGCAAUAAGCUAAAAAAGCAGUACCUUCUUAAGACAAAAUCAAGACACAGAGGAAAUGGAGGGUAAGAAACAACUUGCAGAUGGAUGAUCCAAGGAGCUAAAGUUCCUCUGGAAUUAAAGAGGGUGGCAGAGAAAAGAAAUCAGGCAUCUCUUGUGGACUGCUUAGAUAUGAUUUGGUGAAGAAAAUGCUGAUGUCGCUUAAACAUCUCCACCUGGAGGUUCUACAGAUCGGUACUUAAAACUGAAUGUGCUCAAAACUGCGCAGAAUAGCAUCCUCCUCCUAAUCUUUCAGCAUCAGCCAUCUUCCACUCAGUUGCCUGAACUGAAAGUGUGGAGUAUUCCACAGAGUCUGCAUCUUCCAGCAGUGUGCCUCUCACCCUGAUGCUAGAAUGACCCUCUACAAACUGUCCUAACUUGCUUGUUACCUCUUAUUCCUCAUCCUUCCUCACUUGAAUUUUUCUAGAUCCUACUAACGUCCUUCCCUCUUAUCAUUUGACUCUGCUUGGGCAUCUUUCUCAAUUUCAAACCCAAUCCAAUCCCUCUUCUAAGGAAAUCAAUCUUUCUGUAGCCCCUUUAUUCAUUUUAGAGACAAUUCCAACAUCUGAGCAUGUGCUAUGAAGUUUCUAAGAGUGGACCAGGAGUAUGGAGUUAUGAGUGUAGCUCAACAUAAAAUUAUUUAAAAUAUUGUGAAAAUUUUUUGUGGGUUUUUUUUUUCUGGUAACUGGAUUGUGUGAUUCUCGAGUGUGAACUCUGCAGAUGAAAACACCUUGUUUUAAUGUCAAAAGAUUGAACAAACUUGGUUCUUGGCCACCUUGUCCACUCUCCCUUGACUGAGCUAACCCUGGAAUCACAUUUCUGAGCUCUUCUGUCCCUUUCACACUCAGCUCCAUGUUUCUUCUUCUAGAAGUACACCUAGAGCCAGCCCUGUUACAUGCUUGUGAUGGGCUCUUCCAGUUCCACAUAAUGCCUGAAAUGACAGGCUGGACUCUUUUUUUUUUUUUUUUUUUUUUUAUGUUGGGAA